AGUGAACGCUGGCGGUAGGCCUAACACAUGCAAGUCGAACGGCAGCACAGUAAGAGCUUGCUCUUACGGGUGGCGAGUGGCGGACGGGUGAGGAAUACAUCGUAAUCUACUUUUUCGUGGGGGAUAACGUAGGGAAACUUACGCUAAUACCGCAUACGACCUACGGGUGAAAGCAGGGGAUCUUCGGACCUUGCGCGAUUGAAUGAGCCGAUGUCGGAUUAGCUAGUUGGCGGGGUAAAGGCCCACCAAGGCGACGAUCCGUAGCUGGUCGGAGAGGAUGGUCAGCCACACGGGAACGGAGACACGGUCCAGACUCCUACGGGAGGCAGCAGUGGGGAAUAGUGGACAAUGGGCGCAAGCCUGAUCCAGCCAGACCGCGUGGGUGGAGAAGGCCCUCGGGUUGUAAAGCCCUUUUGUUGGGAAAGAAAAGCAGCAGGUUAAUACCCCGCUGUUCUGACGGUACCCAAAGAAGAAGCACCGGCUAACUUCGUG
rnacentral:rRNA from 1 species